CCUACGGGAGGCAGCAGUCGAGAAUCAUUCACAAUGGGGGAAACCCUGAUGGUGCGACGCCGCGUGGGGGAAUGAAGGUCUUCGGAUUGUAAACUCUUGUCAUGUGGGAGCAAAUUAAAAAGAUAGUACCACAAGAGGAAGAGACGGCUAACUCUGUGCCAGCAGCCGCGGUAAUACAGAGGUCUCAAGCGUUGUUCGGAAUCACUGGGCGUAAAGGGUGCGUAGGCUGUUUCGUAAGUCGUGUGUGAAAGGCGCGGGCUCAACCCGCGGACGGCACAUGAUACUGCGGGACUAGAGUAAUGGAGGGGGAACCGGAAUUCUCGGUGUAGCAGUGAAAUGCGUAGAUAUCGGGAGGAACACUCGUGGCGAAGGCGGGUUCCUGGACAUUAACUGACGCUGAGGCACGAAGGCCAGGGGAGCGAAAGGGAUUAGAUACCCCAGUAGUC
rnacentral:rRNA from 1 species